CGGCUCGUCAACAGUCUUGCUGGCGCCAUCUGUGAAGGAAGUCUCGGGGGUUUUCCGCAUUCACUGGCAAGAUUGAAACAAUCCAAAGGAACUGGAGCUCAAUAGGCUCGUCAGGGACUUCAGUGAGACCAUGAAUGGGAUAGCUCGGGAUUGCAGAGUGGAAAAACUGGCCCAAUACAGUUAAGUUUGGACAACGUAUUUGGUGCAAACCGUAAUGUAUUCAUGUUGCCUGGUUCAUGUGUACGGGACGCUUAGGCAACAAUAACGGAUUAUACAAUCAGUUAAUACAAAGAGCACACAAGCUCCACGAGACAUCUAGCCUGCAGUUUCGCCAACACGAUACAAAGCUGGAUUUCUGGGGAGGUCAUCAGCAACAUGUGAUAAUGGCACGUAUAAAGGUUUUCGUCAUCAGUGCAUCUAACGUUAGGGUAGUUCGGGCUUGGCCAAGGCGAAUAUUUCAUCUCCAAGUGUACCCUCAAAAGAAGUGGUAUUUUCGCAGAGGAUUUGUGGUCACCGAGUUUUUGAGUGAAGAAGAAGAAAAAGAAGAAAAAAAAAACAUGCAAGAAUUUGAUCAAGCUCCCAAAAGAAACAGAAGCUGGAGAGCAAUAAAUCACCUUCGGCCACGCAGUUGCCAUGCUAUGGACACAAAUAAACAUCACUUUAAGACAGCCUUUCGGUUCCAGUCCAGGAAUUCAGUACGCCGACACCUCCCGUUGGGCUCAAGAAGAACGGACUCGCAAACUGACAUCCAGCUCGAAAAGGCAGAUCCCUCUUGGCGGAGUUUAGCGUCUGCGACAUUGUCGUCGACGCUGCCGAAAGCAUUUACAUGGAAGUCAUGAAGACCUUCGCCGUUCUUGUUCUCCUGGGGUGUCUCGCCUACGGCGCCUUUGCAUACAGCGACCCUAAAGAAAAUGUCAUUGAGGAUGGCACUAGUACCAUGAGUACAGUGGAUGACUGCAGAAGAGCCGAUUUCUUUGGAGUUGGUCCGGUUACGUCUCAAGAGCCAGCAGUAAUAGAUCAGUGUAGUGUCUUCCUGGAGAGCAUGAGCCCUGGCCAAAGGCAGUCAAUCACAGCACUGUUGUCGACCACUGAUCAUAAUCUGAGCCAUGCAUCACCCAGGUUAGGGUGUGGCAUCAGUGAUACCUUGCAGUUCUCCGUCAUCUUUCAACUCGGCAUCUUUGGCCGCUGCAGGCAAUGGCCACUUCCUCAGUUGGCAUGUCAACCCAAUUGAAGCCCAACCACAUCUCUGCACUAAACUCUCAAGCCAUUUUCUUUCUGUUCUGAUGGCUUAUCCGAGGAAAGAAAAUCUACAGCACUGAUGCCUGACUAUUUGUCUGCAUUGAACAUUCCACAUGAUCGAGUUUCCUGGCUCGUUAACUUCCGUGCCUGCAGUACCUGUCCUGAUGCUGAUGCCCCACGGUACCUUUUGGAAUCACAGAACAUUGCUGAUACAUGUAUGCACACUACCAUUUGAGAGCAACGUCUAUGGUGAGAAUGUUUCACUCGUGCUCAAAGCAGGGUUUAAUUUGCAAGGGGGCACUUGGGGUGCCCGCAUUUUCUAGAGGGGGCACUCGGUGGGGUUCGGUCACAGUUAGAACCCUGACCAAGAAGGACAGUCACCUGAUUUUUUCAUUUCUAAUUUGUGAUGGGGAGGGGGAUCAUGGGGGCAUGGGCCUGCAGGGCUCCCCCUUAGUAACGCUACUCUUCUUAGCGUCAAAUUUGCUUUGAUUUUGCAUUUGGAUGAAGUACAGACUCAAACACAGAGGAUCUAACACUUUUAACUGUCAAUCAAAGCAGACAGUAUUGUUGAUGUUUCACUGGGGAAGCUUUCCCAAGUUGUUGUAAAAUUCCACAUCACUCAUUUAUAUGUUUUCUGUUCUUUUUCCCAUGAGUAUUCACUGUUUUGUGUUCUUUAUGGUUCCAUUGACGCACCUUUUAACAGUCAUCUCAGAUCCCUGAUCAACUUUCUUUAGAGUGAUCAUCCAGUUGUUUCUACAUUUCUGUAAGUAUUGCAGUAAUGAAAACGAAGUCUCUUGCUAAUGGAUACAACAUGAAACAAUAGGUGGACUUUAGCCCCUAACCAUCAAGACCAGAGUGACCAAUCCAGGCCUGAGUGACUUAGUCUCGGCAUCAUGAGCCAGCAAGUGAACUUGAUCCUCUAACCAUCCAAGCGUGAGUGACCCAUCCUAGCUCUAGUUUCAGCAACAUGAACCAGAAGGACAACCAGGGCCUAUAACGAUCGAGGCUUGAGAGACCAAUUCAAGCUCUAAUCUCAGCAACAUGAACCAGCAGGUAGAUUUGAUUAGCCUACAACCAUCCAGGCUUGGGUGACCAAUCCUAACUCUAGUCUCGGCAAUAUGAGCAAGCACGUGCACUUGAGUCAGUCACUACCCAUCUAGGCUGGAGUGAAUAGUCCCAGCUCUUGUCUCAGCAACAUGAACCAGCGGGGGACUUGAUGAGCCUCAAACCAUUCAGGUUGGAGUGAAAAAUCCUAGCUCUAGUCUCAGAAGGAUGAACAAGCACGUUGACCCGAGCCUUUAGCUGUGCAGGCUUGAGUGAUAAUCCUUGCUCUAGUCCCAGCAAUAUAAGCCAGAAGGUGAGCCUGAGCCUCUCAGCAUCCAGGCUGGGGUGACCAAUCCUAGCUCCAGUCUCUGUAACAUUACCCAGCAGGUGGACUUGAGCCUCUCAGCAUCUGGGCUGGGGUGACAAAUCCUAGCUCCAGUCUCUGUAACAUGACCCAGCAGGUGGACUUGAGCCUCUAACCAUCAAGGCUGGAGAGACCAAUUCUAGCUUUAGUCUCAGCAACAGGAACCAGCAGGUGAACUUGAGCCUCUAACCAUCUAGGCUUGAUGGAAACCCUAGCUCUAGUCACAGCAACAGAUGCACAUGAGCCUCUAACCAUCCAGGCCGGAGUGACCAAUCUUAGCUCUAGUCUCAGCAACGUAA
rnacentral:misc_RNA from 1 species